AACGCACCUUGCGCUCCUUGGUAUUCCGAGGAGCAUGCCUGUUUGAGUGUCAUUAAAUUCUCAACCAUUAUCAACUUUUGCUGGUAAUAGCUUGGAUGUGGGGGUCUAUUUUGCUGGCUUCUCAGAUAGUCAGCUCCCCUUAAAUGCAUUAGCUGGUGCCCUGCGUGGACUGUCUAUUGGUGUGAUAAUUAUCAACGCUAUAGACAUCUGCAAUCAUAUGGGUUUGCGCUGCUUCUAACAGUCUGUUGAUUCAGACAAUACAUGACAAUUUGACCUCAAAUCAGGUAGGACUACCCGCUGAACUUAA
rnacentral:misc_RNA from 1 species